CUACGGGCGGCUGCAGUUAGGAAUAAUCUACAAUGCACGCAAGUGUGAUAGUUUGAAUCAGAGUGCGUUUCAUUCGAAACGCUUUUAUGAAAUGUAAAAAGUUUCACGAAUAAGGACUGGGUAAGACUAGUGCCAGCCGCCGCGGUAAUACUAGCGGUCCAAGUCGCAGCCAUUUUUAUUGGGUCUAAAACAUCCGUAGCUUGCUUGAUAAGUUUCUUGUGAAAUUUUGUAUCUUAAGUACAGAGCGUGCAAGAAGUACUGUCAAGCUAGAGACUGGGAGACGUAAGAAGUACGGCCAAAGUAGCGGUUAAAUGUGUUAAUCUUGGUUGGACUUACAAUAGCGAAGGCAUCUUACGAGAACAGUUCUGACAGUCAGGGAUGAAGGCUAGGGGCGCAAAACGGAUUAGAUACCCGCGUAGUC
rnacentral:rRNA from 1 species